GUGGGGAAUAUUGGGCAAUGGGCGGAAGCCUGACCCAGCGACGCCGCGUGGGGGAAGAAGUCUUUCGGGAUGUAAACCCUUGUUGUACGGGACGAAGGAAGUGACGGUACCGUACGAGGAAGCCCCGGCAAACUACGUGCCAGCAGCCGCGGUAAUACGUAGGGGGCGAACGUUAUCCGGAAUCACUGGGCGUAAAGCGCACGUAGGCGGGCUGUCAAGUCGGCCGUGAAAGGCACGGGCUCAACCUGUGCAUGUCGGUCGAUACUGGCGGUCUGGAGUAUGGGAGAGGGAACUGGAAUUCCCGGUGUAGCGGUGAAAUGCGUAGAUAGCGGGAGGAACACCAGUGGCGAAGGCGGGUUCCUGGCCCAUGACUGACGCUGAGGUGCGAAAGCCGGGGGAGCGAACGGGAUUAGAAACCCCGGUAGUCC
rnacentral:rRNA from 1 species